rnacentral:pre_miRNA from 1 species
UGAGAGAUAAUUAUGAGUGAUGGUCAUGGCAUGAAAGAAGGUGAGAAUUGCAUCGUGAAUCAAAACCUCCACAAGUUGGAUAUCUUGAUUUUCUGAUCAACGCAAUUCUUACUUUCUUUCUUGCUCCUAUCAUCACUGAGUAUUUUAAUCA